rnacentral:rRNA from 1 species
GACGAACGCUGGCGGCGUGCCUAAUACAUGCAAGUUGAGCGCUGAAGGUUGGUACUUGUACCGACUGGAUGAGCAGCGAACGGGUGAGUAACGCGUGGGGAAUCUGCCUUUGAGCGGGGGACAACAUUUGGAAACGAAUGCUAAUACCGCAUAAAAACUUUAAACACAAGUUUUAAGUUUGAAAGAUGCAAUUGCAUCACUCAAAGAUGGUCCCGCGUUGUAUUAGCUAGUUGGUGAGGUAAAGGCUCACCAAGGCGAUGAUACAUAGCCGACCUGAGAGGGUGAUCGGCCACAUUGGGACUGAGACACGGCCCAAACUCCUACGGGAGGCAGCAGUAGGGAAUCUUCGGCAAUGGACGAAAGUCUGACCGAGCAACGCCGCGUGAGUGAAGAAGGGUUUCGGAUCGUAAAACUCGGUUGGUAGAGAAGAACGUUGGUGAGAGUGGAAAGCUCAUCAAGUGACGGUAACUACCCAGAAAGGGACGGCUAACUACGUG